AAUAUUGCACAAUGGGGGAAACCCUGAUGCAGCAACGCCGCGUGAGCGAUGAAUGAAUUCGGGUUGUCCAGCUCUGUCUUCAGGGACGAUAAUGACGGUACCUGAGGAGGAAGCCACGGCUACCUACGUGCCAGCAGCCGCGGUAAUACGUAGGUGGCAAGCGUUGUCCGGAAUUAUUGGGCGUAAAGGAUGCGUAGGUGGUCCUUUAAGUGGGAUGUGAAAUCCCUGGGCUUAACCCAGGAAUUGCAUUCCAAACUGGAGGACUAGAGUGCAGGAGAGGAAAGUGGAAUUCCCAGUGUAGCGGUGAAAUGCGUAGAGAUUGGGAGGAACACCAGUGGCGAAGGCGGCCACCUGGGCUAAUACUGACACUGAGGUGCGAAAGCGUGGGGAGCAAACAGG
rnacentral:rRNA from 1 species